rnacentral:rRNA from 1 species
GGUUUUUUGAAUUUUAUUUAAGAUCAUACCUGCCCAUUGAUUUUUAAGAAUUAAAAGGCUGCGGUAUUUUAACUGUACGAAGGUAGCAUAAUCACUUGUCUUUUAAUUGAAGGCUAGAAUGAAUGGUUUAAUGAAAAAUAAACUUUCUUUAAUUAAAUAAAUUUAAUUUAAUUUUUUAGUUAAAAAGCUAAAAUUUUUUUAUAGGACGAGAAGACCCCAUAGAAGUUUACUUUAUUUAUAAAUUUUUAUUUAAUGUUUUUAUAAUUUAAUUUUAGAAUAUAAAGUUUUGUUGGGGUGACAUUAAAAUUAUUUUAACUUUUAAUUUUAUAUUUCAUAAAUUUAUGUUUUUUUGAUCCAGAUUUUUUGAUUAUAAGUUUAACUUACCUUAGGGAUAACAGCGUAAUUUAUUUGGAGAGUUCAUAUCGAUGAAUAAGUUUGCGA